GUACAUGCCCUAACAUUACUCCAAAAUCUGAUCCCCAUCAGCCCUAUCAGAACACUAUUUAAAAGCUCAGCUUACUUCAACUGUGGCAAAACAGUUAUGGCCCAGGUAAACAGAAGAAGGUAGACUCCACCGUAACAAAUUUAGUUAACAGGAAGCAAUCCCAGAUCUAUAGGCACAGAGAAGAAUAAGAGAGAAACUUCACCCUAAUGAAAUUUAGACUUGAGUUUUAGAAGAUUUUCCUGGAAAGACUAAGUAGAGUCAAGAGUUGAGAUAAAGUGAAGGCAUGAAAAGCAGAAUGAUGUGGAAUUUAAAAGAUGAAGAGCUAUAAACGUGUUAAUUUAAUUGGCACGAUCUCUCGAAGACAGAUCCACUGCAACCACGAAGAAGAAUUAUCCUUUCUACACAGGGCCAUUUUUCCACGAUGCUACUACAUUGGCCAUCACAGAGCACAAUGGCAUCACCAGAAACCAAGAAGAUGGUAAGGCCUGGAGGUGGCAGAGCUGAAGAGAGUACAUGACCCAGCAGAAGAAAUAAGCACAAAUACAAAUGGUGACAGAAAAAUAAGAUGUGUCACAACUGACUUAGAUUCCAACAACCACAACAGCACAGAGGAGGAAGCGAGGUGGUGCUCCCUGGAAUGACCCAAACACAACAAUAUCUGAGCUUGCUCUUGAAGGACUAGCAGUUUACCAAGCAAAAUGGAAAACAGAAAUUGAGUCCAGGUCUAGAUAUCAAGAAGCACAAAGAGAUCCAGAAAAGACCAUGGAGAAUUCAAAGACCAGCAACAGGCUUCAAAAGCCUUCUAUGAAUAGGGCAUGCAUGGACCCUUCUCCUCUCACCCCCCAGCACAUAUGAAGGGGUAUGGACAGUGUUGGAACAAGAUGGUCUUGGAUUCAGAAAUAAAAGGAGUCAGAAGCUGAAGACCUAAGGGUAACACAAGACUUCCGGGUUCUGGCCGGGCGCGGUGGCUCACGCCUGUAAUCCCAGCACUUUGGGAGGCCGAGGCGGGCGGAUCACGAGGUCAGGAGAUCGAGACCAUCCCGGCUAAAACGGCGAAACCCCGUCUCUACUAAAAAUACAAAAAAUUAGCCGGGCGUAGUGGCGGGCGCCUGUAGUCCCAGCUACUUGGGAGGCUGAGGCAGGAGAAUGGCGUGAACCCGGGAGGCGGAGCUUGCAGUGAGCCGAGAUCCCGCCACUGCACUCCAGCCUGGGCGACAGAGCGAGACUCCGUCUCAAAAAAAAAAAAAAAAGACUUCCGGGUUCUGAAAGCAGUGCAGCUUGGAAUUUUCAGAAAGUGAAUUGACUUCCUGUAGCUGAUUGUUUUUUAUUUUAGGAAAAUAAAAAUUAUUACUUUUUGUUUAAAUGA